GGGGAAUAUUGCACAAUGGAGGAAACUCUGAUGCAGCAACGCCGCGUGGAGGAUGACGCAUUUCGGUGUGUAAACUCCUUUUAUAAGGGAAGAUAAUGACGGUACCUUAUGAAUAAGCACCGGCUAACUCCGUGCCAGCAGCCGCGGUAAUACGGAGGGUGCAAGCGUUACUCGGAAUCACUGGGCGUAAAGGAUGCGUAGGCUGGAAAUCAAGUCGAGAGUGAAAUCCAACGGCUCAACCGUUGAACUGCUCUCGAAACUGGUUACCUAGAAUAUGGGAGAGGUAGAUGGAAUUGGUGGUGUAGGGGUAAAAUCCGUAGAUAUCACCAGGAAUACCGAUUGCGAAGGCGAUCUACUGGAACAUUAUUGACGCUGAGGCAUGAAAGCGUGGGGAGCAAAC
rnacentral:rRNA from 1 species